rfam:Erinaceus europaeus unplaced genomic scaffold scaffold00359, whole genome shotgun sequence
UAUAUUAUAUAUAUUAUAUGCUAAAAUUGAAAUGAUACAGAGAAGAUUAGCAUGGCCCCUGCACAAGGAUGACAGGCAAAUUCAUGAAGCGCUCCAUAUUAAA